CAUAAUGAAAAUCAUGAAAAUCAAAUUCAAAAUUGAAACGAUCAAUAAUUUAUAUAAUGUGCAGGAUACAGACAUCGAUCACGCAGAAAAUAAAUUGAUUUUAAUAGAAAGACACGGAAAAUCCAUAACACAAAUACGGUGCCCUUAAAACAUGCGUUAACAUUUUAGAAAGUAAUGUACACAGAAUACGCGUCUUAAGAAAUGCGAUUAAAAACACGCUGUACAUAUUGUCGCGAAGUUCUCUACAGACGUCGAGGAUAAUCAGUUAUGCUUCUGGUCCACCGCGAAAGUAAGCAGAAAAUUCUGCUGAUCACCUAAUGGUCCCGAACGCUCCAUCUGUGCAAAACUGCUACUAAUUGCGUUGAAAAAAGAAAACUGUCAUGCCAGGCAUGCCGCCGUAUACACAUUAGUUAGUAGAUACUGGAGCUUGUGGC